GGAAUCUUCGGCAAUGGGGGCAACCCUGACCGAGCAACGCCGCGUGAGUGAAGAAGGUUUUCGGAUCGUAAAGCUCUGUUGUAAGAGAAGAACGUGUGUGAGAGUGGAAAGUUCACACAGUGACGGUAACUUACCAGAAAGGACGGCUAACUACGUGCCAG
rnacentral:rRNA from 1 species